rnacentral:miRNA from 1 species
GUAGAAUGUGAGUGCCUAGUGGGCCACUUCUGGUAGGCAGAACUGGCACUGCAGGAUGAACGGAAC